AUCAUUAACAAACAUUUAAAAAGGUUUAUUACAAUACUAAUUGAUAAUAUUAAUGUACUAAUCUUGUUUUGUUACACCCUAAAUCAUUAGCUACCCCAGUUACAAGCAUGAGUUUUUGACUUCAUGCAGACAUCCGCAGACAUCGAAGUACCGCGAGAGUGGUUCAAAAGCCCAGGAAACAGUGUAAUCACGCGGUACUGUGAUGUCAUACUGGUUAACGCUUAGCCACGUGAAGCCGGACACAAGGGCUGCACUAAUCUUUGGGCUAGAGUAGCCUGUGGUUUUUGAGGCUUCCGUGUGUCGUCGCGUUAAACGAUCGCAGAACGAUUUAUUUCUCUUUUUCACCUCGAUUUUGGCCUCUUGUGAUUUACCAAAACCAACAUGUGGAGUAACAACGCUGACGAAGGAGUUUCAUCAGUAGAGUGUGUCCUGGUAAACGUGUGCUCGGAAACAUGCAGAUUACAGUAUCUACAGAGCCGACCAUGAGGCUAGUUUUUGCAUGACAUCCACUGAUGGAUAAUCUGUUUACCUAAAAACAGAUGUGCGCAUGUCUCAACCUGUGAUAGAUAAACUUCACAAAUGAAAGUAAAUUAAAACACUUGAAACAUGUUAAUGUAAUAAGCUGAUUUUUAUAAUAUCAUAAUAAGAUAAUUGUCCUCUUAUUAUGUGCAUGUAAACAUACUUCAUGUCUUUGUUUAUCCUUUGUCUCAAGUCACACUGAGUGUGAGAAGUCAUUUGUCCAGUGCUGUCGUGAAAUCUAAUGAUAACUGCAACUCAUUCAGUCUAACAUGAUGGUUGAAUUACACACAGAUAAACACCCACUUUAUAGACCACAAGAUUUGAGUUCAGUCAGAUUAAGAUAGUUGAUUGAGCGUAGUAGGCAUGGGCCGGUAUAAGAUUCUGGCGGUAUGAUUACCUUUAGCAAAAAUACCAUGGUUUUACAGUUUUGCGGUAUUGCCAUUGCUACACUAAAAUUUGUUAUUUUUAAAUGCCAGGUAAAAAUAAAGCCUUUAAAUUAUAUUGUAUAUAAUAUUUUCAUAAUGUAUGUUACAUGUAAACAUCAAAUCAAUCACAUGACUUAAUGAUUUAAUGAAUUUUGUAUAAAUACAGUUCAUACCUUGGAGAUGGUAUCACAGACCAUUUUAGUAGUUUUGUAACCUUGACUGUUCAAACCUCGGUAUACCUUAAACCGGUAACUAGUCCAUGCCUACCGUGUAGUAUCUAUUAUUUAGGUGGUUGACAGGUCUGUUUGCAUGUUAUUGCAUUGGUAAUAAUUUAUUGUUUAUAGUCCAAUAUUGAUUGUGAGAAUUAUUUCAAUUUCCUUAAAAAUGUUCUAACAUCUUUUUCCUUUCUUUUCUUAAUGCAGCACUUCAGGAGAAACCUGCCUGUGAUCUGCUAAGAUGCACAGAUCCAACUCUGGCCCAUUGCCAUCCCAACACCUCAUUUGCCAUCAGUUUC